rnacentral:lncRNA from 1 species
CUGAGGAAGACAUUCAUUUAUUUAGUCCCUUCACCCAUUUUUCUUCCUCCCCCAUCCCUCUGCCUGACUGGCUGCUGCGCUCACUGACUGCCUGCCUGGAUGUUUGACUCCCUCUCUCACUGGACUUGCGCUGGCACUCCACUCACACCGUGCACGAGCGUCGCCGAGGCUGGAGUGGAGCGAGGCAGUCGGGCUGCUCAGGCUUUGGGAAGUCAGAUCUCUCUCUGAGAUUUCUCCCUCUUUCUGUUUUUACUGGACUAUUUAACAAGACCAGAGGAAAGCUCUCUCUCUCUCUCUCUUCUCUCUCUCUCUCCCUCUCUCUCUCUCUCUCCCUCUCCAGCACUGACCACUGACUCUCACUGCUGGGCUGCAUCCAUGACUUUACAUACCUGGAUGGUGAACGGGCUUGGAUUUAUUUUAGUUUGGACACUUUGCUUGACACAAGCCGACGGGCUUCAGUGCUACGGCUGCAACAUAAUCCACGGGCAGCGAUAUGUGGACGUGGGCUGCUCCAACCCCGAGGUUAUCACCUGUGCCCACUCGCACAAAGGCUUCAAACACCGCUUCUGCAUCAAGACAGAGAGCACUACCCUGGGCAUCGUUCUGACCAGCGGCUGUGCCACCUCCAGGCACUGCCAGCAGCAGGAGCUGCCCGGGGUCCGCAUCCACUGCUGCGACUCGGACAUGUGCAACAGCGCCCCCUCCCGGCACGCAGGCACACUCCACUACAUCAGCGCGCUGUUCAGCCUCCUGCUGCUGAGGAUGUUGUGA